rnacentral:rRNA from 1 species
GACGAACGCUGGCGGCGUGCUUAACACAUGCAAGUCGAACGAAGAUAUGUUGAAAGCUUGCUGAUACAUAUUUUAGUGGCGGACGGGUGAGUAACGCGUGAGGACUUGUCUAGUACAGGGGGACAACAGUUGGAAACGGCUGCUAAUACCCCAUAAGCCUAAGGGUAAAAGGAGCAAUCCGGUACAUGAGAGACUCGCGUCCUAUCAGCUAGUAGGUGGGGUAACGGCCCACCUAGGCGAAGACGGGUAGCCGGCCUGAGAGGGCGACCGGCCACACUGGGACUGAGACACGGCCCAGACUCCUACGGGAGGCAGCAGUGGGGAAUAUUGCACAAUGGGCGAAAGCCUGAUGCAGCGACGCCGCGUGAGGGAUGACGGCCUCGGUUGUAACGUACUUCUAGCAGGAGAAGACGAAGUAGACGGUACCGUCGCGAGAAGGAAGACGAACCGGCGUAACCUAACCGUAGUCCAGCAGCCGCGGUAACGUACGUAGUCUACG